UACGAAGGGGGCUAGCGUUGCUCGGAAUCACUGGGCGUAAAGGGUGCGUAGGCGGGUUUUUAAGUCAGGGGUGAAAUCCUGGAGCUCAACUCCAGAACUGCCUUUGAUACUGAAGAUCUUGAGUCCGGGAGAGGUGAGUGGAACUGCGAGUGUAGAGGUGAAAUUCGUAGAUAUUCGCAAGAACACCAGUGGCGGAGGCGGCUCACUGGCCCGGUACUGACGCUGAGGCACGAAAGCGUGGGGAGCAAACAGG
rnacentral:rRNA from 1 species